CAUCCCCUCCCAGUUCCCCCAUCCCAGUUGCCCCAGUCCCAUCCCAGUUGCCCCCAUUCGCUCCAGUCCCUCCCAGUCACUGCCAGUCCCAUCCCAGUUGCCCCAUCCAGUUGCCCCAGUCCCUCCCAGUUGCCCCAUGCAAUUGCCCCCAGUCCCUCCCAGUUGCCCCAGUCACCCCCAGUCCCAUCUCAGUCCCUCCCAGUUCCCCCCCAGCACGCACAGGCUCCGCACAGUCACUGACACACGUUUAUUGCCCCCAAACCCAGCCCCGGAUGCCUGGGCCCCUCCGGGCAGCGGGACCCCCCCCGCUCCCCCUCAGGGACCCAGGUGUCUGGGGGGGGGAACGGGGUGGUCCCCAAUGCCCCUGGGGGGGGCUGAGGGGUCCCCAUAUCCCCAGGGUGGCCCCCAAAUCCUGGGGGGGGCAAGGGGUCCCUGGUAGCCUUGGGGUGUCCCCGUGUCCCCAAGGGGGGUGUCCCCAAGGCUCUGGGGGGGGGGUCAAGGGGUCCCCAUGUCCCUAAGGCGGGGGUGCCUGUGUCCCGGGGGGGUCCCCACAUCCCCGGGGGGUGAAGGGGUCCCCGUGUCCCCAAGGGGGGGGUCCCCAAGGCCCUGGGGGUGUCCCCGGGGGGUCAAGGGGUCCCCAUGUCCCCAAGAGGGGGGUCCCCAAGAUCCUGGGGGUGUCCCCGUGUCCCUGGGGGGGUCCAGGACAUCCCCAUGUGCCAUGUGGGGGUCGAGGGGUCUCCAUGUCCCUGGGGGGGUCCCCAAAACUUUGGGGGGGCCCCGCAUCCCUGGGGGGUCCAGGACAUCCCCACAUCCCGGAGGGGUCCUCAUGCUCCGGGGGGGUCCCCAUGUCCCCAAGGGGGGGUCCCUGGCACCCCCCCGUCACCCGGCGCAGGUGGAGAAAGGCCGAGCCCACACGAAGGCGUCGAGGCGGCUGCGGAAAAGCUCGCUCUGCACCGGCUCCCGGGGGGGGCACAGCGGGUUCUUCACCACCAGCUCCACGAACAGCUGCGGGGGCUCCGUCAGCGGGCCCAGGCGUCCGGGCAGGCCCCCCCCCAACACCGACCCGCCGCGUCACGCCAACCCCCGGGGCCCAGGCGUCCAGGCACCCCCCACCCGCAGGGGCCCAGGCGUCCGGGUGCCCCUGCCCGCCCAGGGGAUGGUUGUGGGGGCUGUGGGGCCCCCGGCAGCUUUUGGGGUGCUG
rnacentral:lncRNA from 1 species